GGGGAACAGUGGCGCCGAGCCUGGGACCGCGCAGGAGCUGGGCGCAGCACACGGCAAGCGGGGACCCAGACCAUCACUGCAUUUGACCCUCCCGCAGCCGCCUCAGUGCAGGCCGAGAGUGGAGAGAAUGAAUUUAGAAAUGCUUCUGUGGCCCCACGGCCCCUGCUUCCCAGGCGCACAGGCACAGGGACCAGUUAGGAAACUGGUGAUGACAAGAGAGUAGCAGCUGUCACCGCCACAGUGAUAACAUCAGGACUUCUCAACCGCUGGCUCUCUCCAGGUGCUGAUCCCAACCUUAUAAACACCCCCUUGGAUGUUCUUAACCUUUCUAAGGGCUGUGAAUCCCUUUGACAAACUAUUGAAAACUGUAUCCUGUCCACCCUCCCCGCUCCAAAAGGCACAUACCAGUGACAUUCGUAGAAUGAUGUUCAAGGUCCCACCAAACACCUGGAGCCUAUCCAUGAACCCACGACCUCCCACCCAUGAACCCAGGACCCAGCUUAAAUGCCUCAAAGAUACCUGUUUAACCUUCACAGCUCCACGUUAUCCCUCCCUUUAGAGAGGUUCCCCCCGUCCCGCCAGGUUAUUCUGAGUCUUGGGACAUCCUGCAGAGCCCAGCUGCAAAUCCAGGUCUGACCGAAGAACCAGGAAUUAAGCCCCAGGCCACAGGGCAAGGGUCUGCAGCGGGAAAGGCAGAGAGACCCUCUCUCUGCCUGUACACGGGGGAUGAUCGUGGGCCACAUUCCAAUCCGGCAUUCACCACCUAGGGAUGUUGCCUAAACUAUUUAUGCCUUAGUUUCUUUUGGGGGAGGUGGUUGUUGGUUGAUCAGUUGGUUUUUAACGGCUUUAUUGAGCUGUAACUGACACAUAACGUUGUGUAAAGUUAAAGCGUACAAUGUGUUGAUUUGAUACAUUUAUGUGUUGCAAAAUGAUCACGCAGGGGCAUUAGCUGUGGCCUCUAUUCUGUCACAUAGUUACCAUUUCUUUUGUGUGGUGAGAGCAUUUAAGAUCUACUUUCUUAGCAACGUUCAAGUAUGUUGCAUAUCGUUUUCAAAUGUGAAACAGUAUUAUUAGAUGUAAUCAUCAUGAGGUGUAGGUUUUUCAUCUAAAAAGGGGUACAAAUAAUGGCCGCUAUUUCUCAGGGCUGUGGUGUGCGUUGGGCCGUCAUAGACAUAGGCUGUCAUAGAGACAGAAACAGAACCCCCAGGGCCCAUGGGACCGGGGGAGGAAAUACAGACAGGGGUGAGUGCAGCAUUUUGCUCUUAGCUUAAAGAUCCAGAAAGACACCCCCUCCAUCCCAAAUCAAAUCUGCACCCCAGCUUUGGCCCCAGGAAUCCUAAACUGGGGGGGGGGGGAGUGUAAAAACAGACACGCCUGUGCUGUGUCCCACUCCCCAAGCCCAAGGUAUUUUUACUGGCUAAUUGCUAAGUGAAGCCGCCCGGGGGGUGAGAGUGCGCCGUAACCCGAGCAGGGAACCAGAUCCAGCUCGGAUUGUGCCGGGCCUGCUGAGCAGGAGGGGGCAGGGGCGAAGGCGGCAGCCGACCACCCACCGAGAGGGCAGCCGCCCUGUCCCCCACUACCCCUGCUCUGCAUUAGCGUGGGCCCCCCCCCCCAGCCUCCCUCAUCCCUGCUCCCUCGAACCCCUUCCGGAUGAUGUCCAAAGGCGACACAAGGUAGGGCAGGCUGGACCCCAGGCCUGAGGUGGGCGCUGGGCAGUCAGGAAAGCUGCCUGGUCUGGGAGAGUCAGUAGGGAGGCCCGAGGGGGCAGUGGUGGGGUAUGUGAGUGAAAAUGUGGCCCUGGGGUUGGGGACUGUGGGGAGAAAUGUGAGGGUCAGGAGAGAGGCACCCCCCCUUCCCCGCCUUAUGGGAUGAUUUGUGCCCAAAAUACGUGGGCUAUUUCUCUGCAGAUGCUGGAUGUGCACACGUAGCAUGCCAAUAUGCAGGAUAUUGUCCAGGAGGCAAAAAAAAAAACA